UGAAGAAGGUUUUCGGAUCGUAAAGCUCUGUUGUAAGAGAAGAACGAGUGUGAGAGUGGAAAGUUCACACUGUGACGGUAUCUUACCAGAAAGGGACGGCUAACUACGUGCCAGCAGCCGCGGUAAUACGUAGGUCCCGAGCGUUGUCCGGAUUUAUUGGGCGUAAAGCGAGCGCAGGCGGUUAGAUAAGUCUGAAGUUAAAGGCUGUGGCUUAACCAUAGUACGCUUUGGAAACUGUUUAACUUGAGUGCAAGAGGGGAGAGUGGAAUUCCAUGUGUAGCGGUGAAAUGCGUAGAUAUAUGGAGGAACACCGGUGGCGAAAGCGGCUCUCUGGCUUGUAACUGACGCUGAGGCUCGAAAGCGUGGGGAGCAAACAGGAUUAGAUACCCUGGUAGUCCACGCCGUAAACGAUGAGUGCUAGGUGUUAGACCCUUUCCGGGGCUUAGUGCCGCAGCUAACGCAUUAAGCACUCCGCCUGGGGAGUACGACCGCAAGGUUGAAACUCAAGGAAUUGACGGGC
rnacentral:rRNA from 1 species